CUUUCAGCUGCUGACAACCUGUGCCCUAUGCAAACCAGGGGACAUAUCAUGGAAAUGUGCAUAAAUAUUCAUGUGUGACUAACAAAACCAAAAGUGCAAGUAUGGUUAUCAGAGCUCUCGCAUGAAUAUAUUGUGGCCUGCCCUGUUGUGUUGGUUUCAGUAGGAUGAAUGUGAUGCAAAUGUUUUCAAGUAAUGUUGCCCUUAUAUCUUUGAGAGAAAAAGUCCACUGAAGGUGGUGGGACUGCAGAGGUGUGUGAGUAAGAGGAGAAUUUGUGUCCCUGCAUAAUGUAGGCAGUCCUAGACUGGUGAUGCUGUAUACCGUGGGUGAUUUACUGAAACCUUUUACUGGGAAAAAGGAGUUACUUUGUUUAAUCACUCUUUUUGCAUUUGUCUUCUAACCUGUAUGUGAAGAAUUGAAAUUCUCUCAUGAGGUCUGUCUAGAAGCUUAAGGAACACGAGAACCCAGUGAUUGACUUCAGUGCUUUAGUGUCUGAAUGAACUAAUUUCAAGAAUAGAAAACUAAUUUGGUGAAGACUUGAUAAUUUCCCACCAGUCUAGCUCCCUGAAACAGCGAAGUUUCGCCAUCAAAAACAUAUUGUUAGUCACUCUUUAGACAGAUUGUUUUACAGUUUAUCAAUAUUUCUGCAUGAGAAUAUUUAAAAACAUUUUGUUAAUAAUGCACUUUUUUUUUCCUCAGCAGAUUCUGGAUAACUGUGAUGAGAGGACAUAUUCAGAUCAUGGUACAUGAUAUGGAUAAAGAAGAUUCUGUAACAGUGGAGUCAGUGGAAAGGCCAGUGGUCAUCUUGAAACUCCUCCUUGGAGACUGCAUCUGAAUUGAGCACAUGUUGCUCACUGGCACAGAGAAUUCUCCAUUUCUUGCCUAAAUAAGUCUUCUCAGACUGUCCCUGUCCUAUAAACAGCAAAUUCAGGAGAGAAAGGACAGCAGUGCUCCUUGGCCGAACCAUGGUAAGCUGUUGUGUCCUCAUUCCUGCGGUCUAUUAUUCCAAUCUGUUCUGAGGAGGCAGAGCCUUCCUCCUGGGAAUAGAGUGUUCCCCUCUAGCAUUGGUGCCUGUUGGGCAAAUUAUUGCCUACAAGGUUAAUUAUCUGUAGAAAAUGAGCUAGAAUAUUUGGGUGUAACGAAUCAUACUCAAUCAUUACUUUUGAGGAGUGACAAGCUAAAUUUUUGCAUGUUUUGAGCUUGUUUUAGUGCGAUGCAUUUUGCUAUUUUUCUGCUUUCAUUUCUAGAUUUUGGGAAGUAAAUCAACAUGUCCCGAGCCUGUAAGCUCUUGCAAUGUUUGAUUAUGCAAAGAUUAUGCAAAGUUUAAUCUCUCCCCCAAGUUCCUGAGCUUACUGUUCCUCAGAAGGAACAGCAGGUCCUCUGGAAUCAGUACACUUGUCCCCACCUUCACCAGAUGUAAUAAUAAAACAUUAUUAUGAAAACA
rnacentral:lncRNA from 1 species